rnacentral:rRNA from 1 species
GCCCAGAGCCUGAAUCAGCAUGUGUGUUAGUGGAAGCGUCUGGAAAGGCGCGCGAUACAGGGUGACAGCCCCGUACACAAAAGCGCAUGUGCUGUGAGCUCGAUGAGUAGGGCGGGACACGUGGUAUCCUGUCUGAAUAUGGGGGGACCAUCCUCCAAGGCUAAAUACUCCUGACUGACCGAUAGUGAACCAGUACCGUGAGGGAAAGGCGAAAAGAACCCCGGCGAGGGGAGUGAAAAAGAACCUGAAACCGU